GUCCAGCGUGCCGUUGAGGCGGUUCCCGCGGAGGUCCAGCGCGCGCAGCUCCGCCAGGUGGGACAGCGGGUCGAGCGGGCCGCGCAGGUCCAGCGACGGCAGGGUCAGCGAGGUGACGCGGCGGCCGUCCGCCGAGCAGCCCACGCCCGCCCACCGCCCCGCGCACGCGUCGCCCGUGCUCCAGUUCGCCGCCAGGAUGCCGUGCGCGUCCGCGCCGUGCCGGAAGAUGGUCAGCGCGUCCGUGUCGCUCGGCUUCACCUCCGGCUCUGGGUCCGGUACGGCCGACGGCGCCGCUGCCGACAGGAUCGUCAGGAAUGCCGCGGAAAGCAGCAAGAAGGAGAGCCGCACGCGCAUUGCCGCCGCCGGCAGCCGCAGGUGUGGACGCCGACGGCGACGGGGCGAGUGGAGGUGGAGCGAGAUCGGCAUGGGAGUGGGCCGGGCGAGAGAGGAAAGGAAAGGAGAGGUCCGGAGGAAUCACUCAACCAAAGCCAUGACUGGAGUGAGUGAUCUUGGCUGCUCCGUCAGUCAGUCUGCAUUGGGACGAGAGAAGUGCUACUCCAUCUCCAUGCAACUUUUGAUUUUUGAAGAAUCGACGGAGCUGGCGCUUGGGGUCGGAGUCUCGGAUUGGCCACUGGGACCUGUUUCCUCCACUCCACUGCUCUCUUUGGGCG
rnacentral:misc_RNA from 1 species